rnacentral:tRNA from 1 species
GGAGAGGUGGGAGAGUGGCUUAAUCCAACAGUUUGCUAAACUGUCGUACUGGAAACGGUACCGGGGGUUCGAAUCCCCCCUUCUCCG